rnacentral:piRNA from 1 species
UGCUUGGAAACGCUCAGGUUUCUUCUGGACCC